rnacentral:lncRNA from 1 species
CUGGUGGUGAGGCUGCAGCUCCCUGUUUAAGAACCAUGAGUGGUUGUGAGUGUUGCUUCUUCUCUCUGUUUCCACUAGGAAUGAGUGAAAGGUGAUGGUAGGGAUGAUUGAGUGGAAGGAAGGGAAUCCCUUCUGCAGAGAAUCAUGAAGUUUCACAGCAUCAAAGGGCAGGCUAUCUCUGCCAUAACUUGAAACUGUAGACCUGAGACAGAUGGAUUUCAUCUGCGCUGGAUGUGAAACAAAAGCAUAAGGAAAGAAUCUGAAAGGACUUCAGCAGAUGGGAAGCUGAGCAUACUUUGAGAGGAAAAAGCAAAUAUAUUGAGGAUGAGGAAGAUGUCAUGCAUCUGAGAUGGCAAAGAACAUUUAUAUCUUUUAUGAAGCACUGUUGAGACUUCAUCUGCGGUGGUAUUUUCUCUGUUGAGCACAAUGAGGAGAAAGCUGUGCCCCAGAGUGUAUGAAAGCAUCAGAGAGACUACAUAAUUCUCAUGGAGACUGCAAAGAGGAGGAUGCUUGCUUUGUUUAUUCAUCUUUGAGGUAAUCCCUUCCAGAACAAGAUACACUGCAUUUACCAUGGGAUUCUGUUUCAUUUCAAAC